rnacentral:rRNA from 1 species
UACUCCUACGGGAGGCAGCAGUGGGGAAUAUUGCACAAUGGGGGCAAGCCUGAUGCAGCCAUGCCGCGUGUGUGAAGAAGGCCUUCGGGUUGUAAAGCUCUUUCAGAGAGGAGGAAAGGGGGGGGCUAAUAUCCUGCGCGUGUGACGUUACCCGGAGAAGAAGCACCGGCUAACUCCGUGCCAGCAGCCGCGGUAAUA